GCCUCAAAGAGGGGGACAACAGUUGGAAACGACUGCUAAUACCGCAUAGGCCCACAGGUCGGCAUCGACCAGAGGGAAAAGGAGCAAUCCGCUUUGAGAUGGCCUCGCGUCCGAUUAGCUAGUUGGUGAGGUAAUGGCCCACCAAGGCAACGAUCGGUAGCCGGACUGAGAGGUUGAACGGCCACAUUGGGACUGAGACACGGCCCAGACUCCUACGGGAGGCAGCAGUGGGGAAUAUUGCACAAUGGGGGAAACCCUGAUGCAGCGACGCCGCGUGGAGGAAGAAGGUCUUCGGAUUGUAAACUCCUGUUGUUGAGGAAGAUAAUGACGGUACUCAACAAGGAAGUGACGGCUAACUACGUGCCAGCAGCCGCGGUAAAACGUAGGUCACAAGCGUUGUCCGGAAUUACUGGGUGUAAAGGGAGCGCAGGCGGGAAGACAAGUUGGAAGUGAAAUCUAUGGGCUCAACCCAUAAACUGCUUUCAAAACUGUUUUUCUUGAGUAGUGCAGAGGUAGGCGGAAUUCCCGGUGUAGCGGUGGAUGCGUAGAUAUCGGGAGGACACCAGUGGCGAAGGCGGCCUACUGGGCACCAACUGAC
rnacentral:rRNA from 1 species